AGGAUCUCAGUCUACUUUCGUUGGUGCUUUGAUGACUUGUCUUGAUGAAAAAGAUGAAGAAAUGGAUGAAGAUGAUUCCACCAUAAUUGAUGAAUGAAUGAAAAUGAAUAACUAUGUAAUAAUGUUAUUUGUUUGGAGGCCUAGUGGCUAGUGGCCUACUGUUAUUUGUUUGGUGAACCAUGGAUGUUGAUUUCUAUUGUUUCACUUGUAUUGAACAUUUGAACUUUGGAGUGCUCCCUGUGUCUGUGUGGUGCUACUUUGUUUGUAAUAAUCUCAACUAUUUGUAAUAAUCUCACUGCACUAUGUCUUGCUAGAAUGUAGUUGCUGUCAUGUUUGUUUGAUUGUUUA